CCAAAGUAGAGAAUACUAAGGUGAUCGAGAUAACCCUCGUUAAGGAACUCGGCAAAAUUGCUCCGUAACUUCGGGAUAAGGAGCGCCCCAGUAGGGUGAAGCGGCUUGCCCGCUCAGCCCGAGGGGGCCGCAGUGAAUUGGCCCAAGCGACUGUUUACCAAAAACACAGGUCUCUGCUAAGUCGAAAGACGACGUAUAGGGGCUGACGCCUGCCCGGUGCCGGAAGGUUACGUGGAGUUGUCAGGGCUUCGGCCUAAAGCAGCGAAGCUAAGCCCCGGUAAACGGCGGCCGUAACGAUAACGGUCCUAAGGUAGCGAAAUUCCUUGUCGGGUAAGUUCCGACCUGCACGAAUGGCGUAACGACUUGGGCGCUGUCUCAACGAGGGGCUCGGUGAAAUUGCAGUCUCAGUGAAGAUGCCGAGUACCCGCGGCUAGACGGAAAGACCCCGUGCACCUUUACUAUAACCUGAUAUUGGAAUGCGGUGCAUCUCGCUCAGGAUAGGUGGGAGGCUUUGAAGCAUCGGCUGCGGCUGGUGUGGAGUCAACCUUGAGAUACCACCCUUGAUGUAUUGUGUUUCUAACAGUGCGCCGUGAAUCCGGGCGCUGGACAGUGUCAGGCGGGUAGUUUGACUGGGGCGGUCGCCUCCCAAAAUGUAACGGAGGCGCACAAAGGUUCCCUCAGUACGGUUGGAAAUCGUACGCAGAGUGCAAAGGCAACAAGGGAGCUUGACUGCGAGACUGACAAGUCGAGCAGGAGCGAAAGCUGGUCUUAGUGAUCCGGCAGUGGCAAGUGGAAGCGCUGUCGCUCAACGGACAAAAGGUACGCCGGGGAUAACAGGCUUAUCGGGCCCAAGAGUCCACAUCGACGGCCCGGUUUGGCACCUCGAUGUCGGCUCGUCGCAUCCUGGGGCUGUAGUAGGUCCCAAGGGUUGGGCUGUUCGCCCAUUAAAGCGGUACGCGAGCUGGGUUCAGAACGUCGUGAGACAGUUCGGUCCCUAUCUGCCGUGGGCGUUGGAGAGUUGAGAGGAGUUGUCCCUAGUACGAGAGGACCGGGAUGAACGCACCUCUGGUGUAUCUGUUGUCCUGCCAAGGGCAUAGCAGGUUAGCUACGUGCGGAUUGGAUAACCGCUGAAGGCAUCUAAGCGGGAAGCCAACCUCGAGAUGAACUCUCCCAUCCCCAUGAGGGAGUAAGACCCCUGGUAGACCACCAGGUUGAUAGGCCGGAUCUGGACGCACAGCAAUGUGUGAAGGAGACCGGUACUAAUGGGUCGAGGGCUUGAC
rnacentral:rRNA from 1 species